rnacentral:rRNA from 1 species
AGAGUUUGAUCCUGGCUUAGGAUGAACGCUGGCGGCGUGCUUAAUACAUGCAAGUCGAACGAAGCACUUUGACAGAUCCCCUCGGGGUGAAGAUGAUUGUGACUUAGUGGCGGACGGGUGAGUAACGCGUGGGGAACCUGCCUCGUGCUGGGGGAUAACAGUUAGAAAUGACUGCUAAUACCGCAUAAGCGCACAGUAAGGCAUCUUACAGUGUGAAAAGAUUUAUCGGCAUGAGAUGGACCCGCGUCUGAUUAGGUAGUUGGCGGGGUAACGGCCCACCAAGCCCGCGAUCAGUAGCCGACUUGAGAGAGUGAUCGGCCACAUUGGGACUGAGACACGGCCCAGACUCCUACGGGAGGCAGCAGUAGGGAAUAUUGCACAAUGGGGGAAACCCUGAAUGCAGCGACGCCGCGUGAGUGAUGAAGUAUUUCGGUACGUAAAACUCUAUCAGCAGGGAAGGUAAUGACGGUACCUGACUAAGAAGCCCCGGCUAACUACGUGCCAGCCGCAGC